GCGAGUUAGUUAGUAAUGUAUGGCAUCACGGUCUUCACCUCUACACCAGGGUUAAACUCCAUGAGACCUGAUGGGGGCUGUUGGCUAGGGUGAGUGGCAGGGCGUCUAAUUGAAACUGUCCAUAUCUUUUCCUCAUUCCCUCUGAAUACCCAGGGAAACAUCCCGAAUGGCUUUCCCUUCAAUUAGUCUCCAUUUCCAUCAGUCACUUACGACCUCUAAAAUAUAUAUAAGAUGAGUAGAGGAGAAGAUGAGUGGAGGAGAAGAUGACUGGAGGAGAAGAUGAGUGGAGGUGAAGAUGAGUGGAGGAGAAGAUGACUGGAGGUGAAGAUGAGUGGAGGAGAAGAUGAGUGGAGGAGAAGAUGACUGGAGGUGAAGAUGAGUGGAGGAGAAGAUGACUGGAGGUGAAGAUGAGUGGAGGAGAAGAUGAGUGGAGGAGAAGAUGAGUGGAGGAGAAGAUGACUGGAGGUGAAGAUGAGUGGAGGAGAAGGUGAGUGGAGGGGAAGAUGAGUGGAGGAGAAGAUGACUGGAGGUGAAGAUGAGUGGAGGAGAAGAUGAGUGGAGGUGAAGAUAGGUGGAGGAGAAGAUGAGUGGAGGUGAAGGUGAGUGGAGGUGAAGAUGAGUGGAGGAGAAGAUGAGUGGAGAAGAUGAGUAGAGAAGAUGAGUGGAGGUGAAGAUGAGUGGAGGAGAAGAUGAGUGGAGGAGAAGAUGAGUGGAGGAGAAGAUGAGUAGAGGAGAAGAUGAGUAGAGGUGAAGAUGAGUGGAGGAGAAGAUGAGUGGAGGAGAAGAUGAGUGGAGGAGAAGAUGAGUGGAGAAGAUGAGUGGAGGAGAAGAUGAGUGGAGGAGGAGAUGAGUGGAGGAGAAGAUGAGUAGAGGAGGAGAUGAGUGGAGGAGAUGAGUGGAGGAGAAGAUGAGUGGAGGAGAAGAUGAGUGGAGGAGAAGAUGAGUGGAGGAGGAGGAGGGAAAAAGGAGUAAUGAUUAGGGACCAGUAGUAAUGCGUGGUGGGAGGGGCGCUGGAUGAGCGGAUGAAGGGUGAUGAUAAAACAUUCAUUAACGGGACGUAAAACCACACGUUAAAGACGAGGGCCAUCCAUUAUUAUUUCAGAUCUACCAGAGUGAGUGUAGGCAGCUUGGGUAAAAAGCAGAGAUUGUCACACAUGAAUGGCACCUCCUCUCUCUCAGACAAAGAUAAUGCUAUUAGCUGAUUAAUUAGACUCCUGUGGAUCAUGUUUAUGA
rnacentral:lncRNA from 1 species